rnacentral:rRNA from 1 species
CAGCCGCCACGGGAAUACGGAGGGUGCAAGCGUUAAUCGGAAUUACUGGGCGUAAAGCGCACGCAGGCGGUCUGUCAAGUCAGAUGUGAAAUCCCCGGGCUUAACCUGGGAACUGCAUUUGAAACUGGCAGGCUAGAGUCUUGUAGAGGGGGGUAGAAUUCCAGGUGUAGCGGUGAAAUGCGCAGAGAUCUGGAGGAAUACCGGUGGCGAAGGCGGCCCCCUGGACAAAGACUGACGCUCAGGUGCGAAAGCGUGGGGAGCAAACAGGAUUAGAUACCCCAGUAGUCCCUGUCUCUUAUAC